AACACAAUAGAAAUUUAGUGAGAAACGAAAUAAUUCCGAUCGGAAUCAAUUCCGAACAAAUGCGUAAUACGUGCCCAGAAGAGUUGCGCUCCUGCGCUAUUUGAAGAUACAACUUUUCAUUGGCUGGUUGCACAGAACAUAGGGUCGCCAUUACGAUGCGCAAGAGCAUACAUACCCUUCUCUUUCUUAUAUGGGCCGCAGUUGGUCGACGUCGUCGCCAUUGCGUGAGAUCUAUGGAUCUGUUGUAAGCGUCAGCAAGCGUAUCGUAGCGUGUAAAUAUACGUGUGUGUUGUACGCGUCGUUUACCGAGUGCGUCGUAUGAUUCUUAUCCUCGCGAACGACGACGGACAAGUGAACGGCAGGUAUCGAACCCGGUCGAUACAAAACAACGCAAUAUUCCGCGAAACGAGACGAAAUCGAGGAGAACGCUCAAGCCAAGCGACAAAACUGGCCGAGUUGCGCGAACAGAUUCAUGGAGAGAUCUGGCAAUCCAAAUUGAUUCGGGUUCAUUGGGGCAUUUAUCCUUAUUUUAUGAAUAUUAUUAUAUAUUCAUAAACACAGUACAAAAAUGACCGAAUGCAUAGAACACUAUAUGCUGCCUCCGAAUCGUCUGCUAGAUUCACCGAUAACGUCCCAUAUACAGUUUAUCAAAAGCCCAGAUGAGGUUGACGGUUUAGAUUUUCGAUUUGAAUCCGCUCGUUUGGAAAGUUUCAAAAACUGGCCAUGCUCGUGGGUAGAGCCAGAAAAACUCGCAGCAGCUGGAUUUUAUUACACAGGCGAGAGCGACAAAGUGAAAUGUUUUGAAUGCUUAAUAGAAAUAUGCGAGUGGCAGGAGGACGACAAUCCAAUGGUCGAUCAUCAACGAUGGUCCGGCAGAUGUAGAUUCAUUCGCAAUAUUCCGUGCGGCAAUGUGCCAAUCGGUACGGAUCCCAACGCGAUUCCGCCACCGGUGCCUAAAGGGAUGGACGUAUGUGGACCUUACAGCUCGAUAUAUAUGCCUUAUUCCGGUCCAGACCAUGAAGAUCAAGAGAUUGAAGAAAGAGUGAAUCAUAGAUUAAGAUUUGGCCUUGCCUCAAGACCAAAGCAUCCUGAAUAUGCUAGUUAUGCUGCUAGAUUAGCGACAUUUGACAGAUGGCCAAAAGCAAUGUCACAAACUAAAGAAGAAUUGGCGACUGCUGGUUUCUAUUACACAGGAAGUGGCGAUCAGACAUUAUGUUAUCACUGCGGUGGAGGAUUAAGAGAUUGGGAACCAGCAGAUGAUCCCUGGAUAGAGCAUGCUAAGUGGUUCGAAUAUUGUCCUUAUCUAAUCUUGGCUAAAGGGACAGAGUUUGUAAGCAACAUUACUGGGAAAACGUAUAUUGCAACAGAAAACUUAUCAAACAUAGCAAUUAAUAAAUUGGAUGAGAAAUUUGAGAAAGCUGAUAGCGAGAGUAUUGCUAGUGGAAGUUCUCAAAGCUCAGUCAGCUCUCAAGAAACUAAUACGGAAGCAAGUGCUGCUUCGUCUAAGGUUAAUAGCGAGGAACAAUCUAUUCAAACACCAAGCGACAAGGAUGCAAGAUUAUGUAAAAUUUGCUACAGCAGAGAAAUACGUAUUGUAUUUAUGCCAUGCGGACAUUUAUUGGCGUGUGCAGAGUGCGCGAAAAAUAUGAAAGUAUGUGGAGUGUGUCGUAAGCCUGUGGAGCUUACGGUACAAGUAUACAUCCCAUAGUGUUUUUAUCCUUGUGGUAAAUAAUCUGCGGAAAUCGUGAAACCAUCUACAUGUAAUACGUCACACGAGCAAUUUAAAGAAGCUAAUAAAUUGCUGGAAGCUUUCAAAAUUCGACAAUCUCUCAAAGCAUUGUUAUUGAGAAUAUAGGAAUAUCAGAGGACAGCAAUAAAAGGCAAUCAAUUGUUACAAUAGUGAACAAUCCAUAAUUCCGAUUACGCCUAGAAAAAUAGACGUCCCAAACAGCUAUCAUAUAUUUUAAAGAGAAACAAACAGCAGCUGGUUUAUUUUACACAGGGACGAUGUAACAAAAUGCUGUCAAUAUAAACUGCAACUAAAAGAAUGGAAGUUAGACGAUGAUUUUUGGGAGAAACAUAGUAGUUUCAAAAAUAGCGAUUACGAGGCAGAAGUUAUUGAAAGAAUAAAAAAACUUUUAAUGAGAGAAUCGUGGAAUUAUCUACAAAUUGUGCAUUACACAAGCAACCUAAAAAAGCUAAUAAGACGUCUAUUGAAGCUCAAAAAGUUCAUCGGCUCAAGGCAUCAUUGCGAAGACUACAGAAACAUUUUAGGGCGACAAUAAAGGGCACAAGGAUUAACUGUCACAAUAUCUAGUAGCAAACCACCUGAUUUAGUAUUGUGCUAAGUUAGAAAAAGAGAAGUUAUUUUUAUACUAUAAUCACAUAUUAUAAGCUGUAAAAAGUGUGCACAAGACUUAUUAAAAUGAAUUAUUAAAAGGAAUACCA